rnacentral:rRNA from 1 species
UACGUAGGGGGCGAGCGUUGUCCGGAAUUACUGGGCGUAAAGCGCAUGUAGGCGGCUUGUUAAGUCAGGUGUGAAAGCUCACGGCUCAACCGUGAGACUGCACAUGAAACUGGCAGGCUUGAGGGCAGGAGAGGAGAGCGGAAUUCCUAGUGUAGCGGUGAAAUGCGUAGAUAUUAGGAGGAACACCAGUGGCGAAGGCGGCUCUCUGGACUGAACCUGACGCUGAGGUGCGAAAGCUAGGGGAGCGAACGGGAUUAGAUACCCCGGUAGUCCUAGCCGUAAACGAUGGGCACUAGGUGUAGGAGGUAUCGACCCCUUCUGUGCCGGAGCAAACGCAAUAAGUGCCCCGCCUGGGGAGUACGGCCGCAAGGUUGAA